rfam:Oryza sativa (indica cultivar-group) chromosome 3, whole genome shotgun sequence.
AAUAAAUGCAAUUGUGGAUUUUAGUGUCUAACUUUAACCAUCGGUUUUAUUUGAAAUAUUUUUAUGAUUAGUAUUUUUAUUGUUAUUAGAUGAUAAAAUAUGAAUAAUACUUUAUGCAUGACUUAACUUUUCAAAUAUUUUCAUAAAUUUUUCAAAUAAGACAGACGGUCAAACGUUAUACAUGGAAUUAUAGCUGCAGCUAUA